UACGUAGGGGCCUAGCGUUGUCCGGAAUUAUUGGGCGUAAAGAGCUCGUAGGCGGUUCGGUAAGUCGGAUGUGAAAUCUCCACGCUUAACGUGGAGGGGCCAUUCGAAACUGCUGUGACUCGAGUCCGGUAGGGGAGUGUGGAAUUCCCGGUGUAGCGGUGAAAUGCGCAGAUAUCGGGAGGAACACCAGUAGCGAAGGCGGCACUCUGGGCCGGAACUGACGCUGAGGAGCGAAAGCGUGGGGAGCGAACAGG
rnacentral:rRNA from 1 species